UGGGGAAUAUUGCACAAUGGACGGAAGUUUGAUGCAGCCACGCCGCGUGGAGGGUGUAGGCCUUCGGGUUGUGAACUCCUUUUUCUCGCGAAAAAGGCACAGUUUUGGCUGUGUUGAUGGCAGUGGGGGAAGAAGCGCCGGCUAACUACGUGCCAGCAGCCGCGGUAAUACGUAGGGCGCGAGCGUUGUCCGGAUUUAUUGGGCGUAAAGAGCUCGUAGGUGGUUCGUCGCGUCUGUCGUGAAAGCCAGCAGCUUAACUGUGGGUCUGCGGUGGAUACGGGCGGGCUUGAGUGCGGUAGGGGUGACUGGAAUUCCUGGUGUAGCGGUGGAAUGCGCAGAUAUCAGGAGGAACACCGAUGGCGAAGGCAGGUCACUGGGCCGUUACUGACACUGAGGAGCGAAAGCGUGGGGAGCAAACAGG
rnacentral:rRNA from 1 species